rnacentral:misc_RNA from 1 species
GGAGAUUCUUGGAAAAGGAGGAUUUGGAUUGUUCUAUAAAAGGGUGUUGCCUAUGUCAAAUGCCCUUGUGGCUGUGAAGAGAAUUUCUCGCAAUUGCAAACAAGGAAUCAGAGAAUCUAUUGCGGAAAUUGGCACAACUUGGUCGGUUGCAACAUCACAAUUUGGUUCCAGUUCUCAGUUAUUGUCGAAGCAAAGGUGAGCUUCUUUUGGCUUAUGAUCAUAUGCCUAAAGGCAGUCUUGACAAAUUCCU